GGGGAAUCUUCCGCAAUGGACGAAAGUCUGACGGAGCAACGCCGCGUGAGUGAUGACGGCCUUCGGGUUGUAAAGCUCUGUUAAUCGGGACGAAAGGCCUUCUUGCGAAUAGUUAGAAGGAUUGACGGUACCGGAAUAGAAAGCCACGGCUAACUACGUGCCAGCAGCCGCGGUAAUACGUAGGUGGCAAGCGUUGUCCGGAUUUAUUGGGCGUAAAGCGAGCGCAGGCGGUUCCUUAAGUCUGAUGUGAAAGCCCCCGGCUCAACCGGGGAGGGUCAUUGGAAACUGGGGAACUUGAGUGCAGAAGAGGAGAGUGGAAUUCCAUGUGUAGCGGUGAAAUGCGUAGAUAUAUGGAGGAACACCAGUGGCGAAGGCGACUCUCUGGUCUGUAACUGACGCUGAGGCUCGAAAGCGUGGGUAGCAAACAGGAUUAGAUACCCUGGUAGUCCACGCCGUAAACGAUGAGUGCUAAGUGUUGGAGGGUUUCCGCCCUUCAGUGCUACAGUUAACGCAUUAAGCACUCCGCCUGGGGAGUACGACCGCAAGGUUG
rnacentral:rRNA from 1 species